rnacentral:rRNA from 1 species
GGGCGAAAGCCUGACGGAGCAAUACCGCGUGAGGGAGGAAGGUUCUUGGGUUGUAAACCUCUUUUNUCAGGGAAGAAAAAAAUGACGGUACCUGAGGAAUAAGCAUCGGCUAANUCCGUGCCAGCAGCCGCGGUAAUACGGAGGAUGCAAGCGUUAUCCGGAAUGAUUGGGCGUAAAGGGUCCGCAGGUGGCAUUGUAAGUCUGCUGUUAAAGAGUCANGCUCAACNUGAUCAAGGCGGUGGAAACUACAAAGCUAGAGUGUGGUCGGGGCAGANGGAAUUCNUGGUGUAGCGGUGAAAUGCGUAGAUAUCUGGAAGAACACCGGUGGNGAAGGCGUUCUGCUAGGCCAAGACUGACACUGAGGGACGAAAGCUAGGGGAGCGAAUGGGAUUAGAUACCCCAGUAGUCCUAGCCNUAAACGAUGGAUACUAGGUGUAGCUNGUAUCGACCCGAGCUGUGCCG